rnacentral:rRNA from 1 species
CACGUAUUUAGCCGGUGCUUCUUACUCAGGUACCGUCAUUUUUUUCUUCCCUGCUGAUAGAGCUUUACAUACCGAAAUACUUCUUCGCUCACGCGGCGUCGCUGCAUCAGGGUUUCCCCCAUUGUGCAAUAUUCCCCACUGCUGCCUCCCGCAGGAGUUUGGGCCGUGUCUCAGUCCCAAUGUGGCCGCCGCCCUCUCAGGCCGGCUACUGAUCGUCGGUUUGGUGGGCCGCUGCCCCGCCAACUGCCUAAUCAGACGCGGGCCCCUCCCGUACCGCCGGAGCUUUUCACACCGCGCCAUGCGGCGCUGUGCGCUUAUGCGGUAUUAGCAGCCGUUCCGGCUGUUAUCCCCCUGUAGGGGCAGGUUGCCCACGCGUUACUCACCCGUCCGCCACUCAGUCCCGCGCUCUCCGGCCCGAAGGCCUUCCUCCGCGCGCUUCGUCGACUGCAUGUGUUAAGCACGCCCGCCAGCGUUCAUCUGAGCCACGGAUACAAACUC